UCCUACGGGACGCAGCAAUUAGGAAUCUUGCGCAAUGGGCGAAAGCCUGACGCAGCGACGCCGCGUGGAGGAGGAAGUCCUUCGGGAUGUAAACUCCUUUUGCCAGGGAAGAAGGAUGUGACGGUACCUGGUGAAGAAGCCCCGGCUAACUACGUGCCAGCAGCCGCGGUAAUACGUAGGGGGCGAGCGUUGUCCGAAGUUACUGGGCGUAAAGCGCGCGUAGGCGGGCGGCUAAGUGAGCGGUGAAAGGCUCCGGCUCAACCGGAUGCAGUGCCACUCAUACUGGCGGUCUUGAGGGCGGCAGGGAGAAGUGGAAUGGCUGGUGUAGCGGUGAAAUGCGUAGAUAUCAGUCGGAACACCUGUGGCGAAGGCGGCUUCUUGGGCCGCACCUGACGCUGAGGCGCGAAAGCCAGGGGAGCGAACGGGAUUAGAUACCCCGGUAGU
rnacentral:rRNA from 1 species